ncrna:unclassified sequences Bacilli-1 RNA
AUCUAUAGUGAUAUAGAGGUGUAAUAGAAGCACGUUACACUGCUUGGCAGAGCUUAAGAACUGUU